rnacentral:rRNA from 1 species
CCUACGUGAGGCAGCAGUAGGGAAUCUUCCUCAAUGGGCGAAAGCCUGAUGGAGCAACGCCGCGUGGGUGAAGAAGGUCUUCGGAUCGUAAAACCCUGUUGUUAGAGAAGAAAGUGCGUGAGAGUAACUGUUCACGUUUCGACGGUAUCUAACCAGAAAGCCACGGCUAACUACGUGCCAGCAGCCGCGGUAAUCCGUAGGUGGCAAGCGUUAUCCGGAUUUAUUGGGCGUAAAGGGAACGCAGGCGGUCUUUUAAGUCUGAUGUGAAAGCCUUCGGCUUAACCGGAGUAGUGCAUUGGAAACUGGGAGACUUGAGGGCAGAAGAGGGGAGUGGAACGCCAUGUGUAGCGGUGAAAUGCGUAGAUAUAUGGAAGAACACCAGUGGCGAAGGCAGCUCUCUGGUCUGUAACUGACGCUGAGGUUCGAAAGCGUGGGUAGCAAACAGGAUUAGAUACCCGAGUAGUC